rnacentral:rRNA from 1 species
AUUGAACGCUGGCGGAAUGCCUUACACAUGCAAGUCGAACGGCAGCACGGACUUCGGUCUGGUGGCGAGUGGCGAACGGGUGAGUAACAUAUCGGAUCGUAUCCAAUAAUGGGGGAUAACGAGUCGAAAGAUUUGCUAAUACCGCAUACGCCCUACGGGGGAAAGCUGGGGACCUUCGGGCCUGGCGUUAAUGGAGCGGCCGAUAUCUGAUUAGCUAGUUGGUGAGGUAAAGGCUCACCAAGGCGACGAUCAGUAGCUGGUCUGAGAGGACGACCAGCCACACUGGAACUGAGACACGGUCCAGACUCCUACGGGAGGCAGCAGUGGGGAAUUUUGGACAAUGGGCGCAAGCCUGAUCCAGCCAUUCCGCGUGAGUGAAGAAGGCCUUCGGGUUGUAAAGCUCUUUCGCAAGGGAAGAAAACUUAGCCACUAACAUUGGUUGAGGUUGACGGUACCUUGAUAAGAAGCACCGGCUAACUACGUGCCAGCCGCCGCCGUAA